AUAGUGAGGAUUGACAGAUUGAGAGCUCUUUCUCUGAUUCUAUGGGUGGUGGUGCAUGGCCGUUCUUAGUUGGUGGAGUGAUUUGUCUGGUUAAUUCCGAUAACGAACGAGACCCCCGCCUGCUAAAUAGUGUGGCUUACGCUUUUGCGUAGGUACUCGCUUCUUAAAGGGACUUUCGGUGACUAACCGAAGGAAGUUGGGGGCAAUAACAGGUCUGUGCAUGACCA
rnacentral:rRNA from 1 species